CAGGCCAACAUUUGUAACUGACUAGCGUUGAGGAUUUUGGAGCAACAAGAGCUCUGUAAAACAGAUGUCCAAAAAAGACUGCCUCUGCAAAGUGAAACCUCUCUCUGUUGUCUACUUUUGGGUUGAAAGUCUCAAUCACUUGGUCAGGUGUCACACAAGCUUCACAGCUGUUGACUGAUGCUCACAGGACUGGUGUUCGGGACUUUCAGCAGAUGUGAUUUCCGAGAGCAGAAAUGUAUGGACACCGGACUGUUCUGCCUCGGAGUAGAUUUUGUGACGCACUUUUCCCCAGGAGACUGGCUCCAUGUGAUGUACUGAUUGAGUGCCUGGAACA